rnacentral:lncRNA from 1 species
AUGUAGCCUUCCUUUUCAAUAAUUUUCAUAAAUACACUUUGUUUUCUUUUUUUUCAGCUGUCUUUGAGACAAACUAGCAAAUUACCUCAUGCUGAGAGAGCUGUUGCACAAGCUGUAGAUACAACGUUUGCCAAGAAGAACACAAACACAGAGAGGAUGGCAAUGGAAGUAGCAAUAAAUUCUCAUAACGUGGCUACUGUAAAUUUUAUGAUGUACUGAAAACACACACAAAAUGACUCAUCUGUCCAAAUUUUUCACUGUAGUUCAGACAGAAACAUGGUAGCGAACAUGAAUAAGGUCAAGUAAUUAUUUCACACAAACGUACUCUCUUUAUGUAGAUGAUAUCGUCUUCUUAUUCUUCUAAUAACAUUCUGUACAGUUCAUUCCUAUUUUUUAAGUAUUGUAUUUGAGAAGGAGUGUGUUAGUCCUGCAGAAAGGAACAAUGUAUUUUUUGUUUCUCAAAUGACAACAAACAAACACAACAACAAAAAAGCAAAUAAGAUGAUUAAUUAUGUACUUCAGUUAUUUUAAAAAGUCUGCAUGCCUGGUGCUGGGGAGUUCAGAGGAUGGCAGCAGCAGUACACCUGGUCUUGAAACACAGCAGGAGGCAUUUUUGAGGUUCUAAACAGAAAUACAAAACAGCCAGAUUGCCUUCCUGAAGGUAAGUACCAUGGGGAAUGGAACCAGGCAGUUACUGCUCAGUUCUAAAAGUUAAUGUAUAUGCUAUGUGGAAAUGUGAUCAUUUUUGGUGGUAAAUAGCUGUACAGUGCUUUUUUUGCUGGCCUGUAGAAGCAUGUGUGGCAGAAAUGCUAAGUCACAGCCUGAACCAGUGAUUGAGCACCUGGUGGGAAGGCAGGACCAACCCAGGGGAGCCCAGGUGCAUGCAACGCAAUGCACCUGAGUGAUGGGAAGGGGGGGGGAGCCAGGAUCCACCCCUUCCCAGACCUCAUUUAAGGGUUGGCAGUGGAGGCAACCAUUUCUUGCAGUAGAUCCCUGCCUGUCUGGGGCCUUCUGAAGGUAAGC